GCAGUAGCCGCGGUAAUACGAAGGGGGCUAGCGUUGUUCGGAAUUACUGGGCGUAAAGCGCACGUAGGCGGAUAUUUAAGUCAGGGGUGAAAUCCCGCAGCUCAACUGCGGAACUGCCUUUGAUACUGGGUAUCUUGAGUAUGGAAGAGGUUAGUGGAAUUGCGAGUGUAGAGGUGAAAUUCGUAGAUAUUCGCAGGAACACCAGUGGCGAAGGCGGCUAACUGGUCCAUAACUGACGCUGAGGUGCGAAAGCGUGGGGAGCAAACAGGAUUAGAUACCCGAGUAGUCCCUGUCUCUUAUAC
rnacentral:rRNA from 1 species